UACAGCUUAAAGCUGUGCGCAGCUUCACAGUCGUCAAGGGAUGGCGCCCCGCAGCCCAUCAUCGUCGAUGGCUUCGACAUAAUGGCUCUCAACUGGUGGUCCAAUUUCCUCUCCCGGAAGGACCAUUAAACGGCACUGCCCGGGGCUGCGCUACGUACGCUUCGGCUGCUGGCUUCACUCCGCAUACGGACCGCUCAGCGCGUGUGAAAGCUCGCCAGCCAACCAAAGAUGUGCGGCGCCACCCACAGCGUUGCCUAUUCACUCGACGACGAAUCAAUCGGGCAUUGAGCCGGCGACGGGUGCCCGUGUGGUCGAUACGGCUCGCAAAGGAAGAAAGAGAGAGAGAGAAAAAAAAACGGCAGACAAUAAAAGGUCGAUGGCCAGCUGUCACAGCGAUUUAUGAAGACGGUGCUGCUUUCCGCCGGAGCAGAGAAAGCAAAAAAGCGCGCAGCUUCGGGAUCGACGCCGAAAUGUCACGGCGGGAAUUGGUCCCGUCAGCAUGUCUUUGUCCGCCUAUGUGACGUGAAGAAAAGCCCGGCCACACUACAGACUGUGAAGUGCGGUUUAAUUAAUAGGGGCUUAGCGAAUAGUAGAUUUUUUUUUUACACCGAAUAGAAUACUUUUUGGGCAGCUUUAAAAUAAAACUUUUUUUUUUCAA